GAAGCCGGAAUUGCUAGUAAUGGCAGGUCAGCAUACUGCCGUGAAUACGUUCCCGGGCCUUGUACACACCGCCCGUCAAGCCAUGGAAGCCGGGAGUGCCUGAAGUGUGCAACCGCAAGGAGCGCCCUAAGGUAAAACCGGUGACUGGGGCUAAGUCGUAACAAGGUAUC
rnacentral:rRNA from 1 species